CUGGCUCAGAACGAACGCUGGCGGCGUGCUUAACACAUGCAAGUCGAACGCGAAAGGGACUUCGGCCCUGAGUAAAGUGGCGCACGGGUGAGUAACGCGUAGAUAACCUGUCUUCAUGUCUGGAAUAAUACGCCGAAAGGGGUACUAAUACCGGAUAUUCUUGCUUUUCAUAAGUUAUGCAAGCAAAGGUGGCCUCUGCAUAUGCUACUGCAUGAAGAGGGGUCUGCGUACCAUUAGCUAGUAGGUGGGGUAAUGGCCUACCUAGGCGACGAUGGUUAGCGGGUCUGAGAGGAUGAUCCGCCACACUGGCACUGGAACACGGGCCAGACUCCUACGGGAGGCAGCAGUGAGGAAUAUUGCGCAAUGGGGGAAACCCUGACGCAGCGACGCCGCGUGAGUGAGGAAGGCCUUCGGGUCGUAAAGCUCUGUCAAGAGGAAAGAAGUGUACAAUGGCUAAUACCUGUUGUAUUUGACGGUACCUCUAAAGGAAGCACCGGCUAACUCCGUGCCAGCCGCCGC
rnacentral:rRNA from 1 species